GGAAGGAUCAUUAACAAAAAAUGAACUAAUAACUAACUGAUCAUGUAUAGCAGUAGCAAUUGCUGCUGCUAUAACACAUUAAACCUUAAUCUAAACACUAUAACCUAUUUACUGGUUGAUAAAAAACUAAAUUUUCAACGAUGGAUGUCUUGGCUCCCAUAUCGAUGAAGAACGCAGCAAAAAUGCGAUAUGCAAUGUGAAUUGCAGAACCACGAAUCAUCGGAUCUUUGAACGUAACUUACACUAUUAUAGUAUACUUGUUUCAGUGUGCUCAAACAACUAACACAACCUAAAUGUGGGAGAACUUCUCCCAUGAAAUACAUGCUCCUUGCAGCAGUCACAUUCUUAUGUGAGCUGUAUAAGGCGACUCAAUAUACUUUAUUAUGCACCUGAAAUCAAGUAAGAUAACCCGCUGGACUUAAGCAUAUUACUAAGCGGAGGAAAAGAAAUUAACUAAGAUUACCUCAGUAAGGGCGACUGAACCGGUAAAAGCUCAAAAUUAAAAUCGAAAAUUCAAAGAAUCUUCGAAUUGUAAUCAGGAAUACCUAAAUAAGAAAAAUCGCUCAAUUAUGUCGAAACAUAAACCAAAGAGGGUGAAAGUCCCGUACAGCUUUUUUUCAUCAAAGGUAUUUCCAAAAAGAGUCGGGUUGCUUGGAACUGCAGCCCUAAAUGGGAGAUAUGAAUCUUCCAAAGCUAAAUAAGGAUGGGAGACCGAUAGCGAACAAGUACUGUGAAGGAAAGAUGAAAAGGACUUUGAAAAGAGAGUGAAAAGAUCUGAAAUCGUUGAGAAGGAAGCGGUAAAAACUGACGAUCAUAAUGAAAGAUCACUUAAUCCAAUUAAGGAAAUCUUCUCAAUAUGAUGGGCAAAAUCAAGUCUUAAAUAUCAAAAAAGGAAACCCCGAUUAAGAUAUAUUUGGCUUGAGGGACUAUUGUGAUUUUGCCAAAAUGGUUUUUACUGUCCCGUCUUGAAACACGGACCAAGGAGUCUAACAUAUAUGCGAGUGUUCGAGUUUAAAAACUCAUACGCAAAAUGAAAGUAAAAGGUGCGCAGUAACAACCUCAGCAUCGACCGACCUAGUAAAAAAGGUUUGAGUUAUAGCAUAUCUGUUAGGACCCGAAAGAUGGUGAACUAUGCCUGAGUAGGGUGAAGUCAGGGGAAACCCUGAUGGAGGCUCGUAGCGUUGUUGACGUGCAAAUCACUCGUCAAACUUGGGUAUAGGGGCGAAAGACUAAUCGAACCAUCUAGUAGCUGGUUCCCUC
rnacentral:misc_RNA from 1 species